GUCGUGGACUCUGGUCAUCAAAAACAACAACACAAAAGUCAGAAGAGACAAUAAAAGCAAUAUGACCUCACAGUACAAACAGCACAUGUUGAUCACAAGUCAACAUCGAUCUGUCGUAAACUGCAGUUUAAAAUCGAGAUUAUUUUAAGAGACGGUGUGUUCCUGUGUUAGUCUGAAUGCAGCUCUGUGCUGUAGAAAUAAAUGAAAUUUAACCUAGAGACUUAACCUGAAUCUGAUGCCUAAAUACAUUUAGCCAUAUCCAUUUUACAUGCAAUUUAUAUUUUAAGUUAAACAUAUUUCACUUGUUGAUUUUCUGAAUGCAGCACCAUCAUAAGGGUCAAACUGAUGCAAUUGUGCUUAAUUUAAAAGGUGCAAAAUCGGACCACAUUUAACUUCAUUUAAUCAAGUAAUGGGGUUGCAAAUUAUCUGAUAUACUGAAGAGUUUAUUCAAUGGCAACCGUGUAAAAAGUUCAUAAAAGUUAUGUUGAGGAUUAAAUAUAAUCAUGCAUGCUCACGCUAGAUGGCAAUUACACUUGAACAAUAAUGUAAUACUAAUAAUGAGUGGAGGCCGUGUAUGACCCAGAGCACACGAACAUGUUGGUAAAAAGGCUGCACGCACUCUCAGGGUCACGUCCAUACACGGGACUGGGUGACCAUGGCUCACACGCAAAACAGCCUUAAUAUGGAGUGAACCUGACUCCCAGGGUCAGUUGUAGAUAAAACAGAAUAUUGAGACUAACAUGUCUCACACACAAACUGGCUCAAGUAUGCAGUGAACUCAUGAACAACAGGAGACGUGAUGAUCCGAGAGCCUGAAGGGAUGGACAUCCCUGUGCUCCAAUGGGGCUCUCCGAAGGUCAUAAACAAGGAGCCGCCUCCAUCAUAGGGAACCAAUCAAGAAUGCUCUUAAAGACUAUAUAUUCCGAGCGCACUUUGUAUUAAGGGCCCUUUUCAUUGCUGUUGCUAGACAGAUUGAAACAGGUCCGUGCACGUAUGACUGCAGGACUGAAUACUCCUGUCACAAAUAAACAUUGUCAUAUUUGCUUUGAUUAAAGUCUCAAGUCUGGUCCUUGCUUUGCGUUCACGACAAUUUGGUAGCAGAGGAUGGUUUUUGACUUGUGUAAGUUCGUGGAGCAGCAAGGGACGCAGACUAAUUAGAGGAACGCUGUACUGGAAGGCCGCAACCCAACCCAGAGGCGGAGCUGUUUUUCUUACCCCGCGGACACUGAUCAAAACAGCGCUGUACUUCAAAAGCUGUCAUUUCAGCGUGUAGCUGAAGUGACCCUCCUCCACCCCAGUCACCUCCAGUUGGCAUCAGCGUUGUUCCCGGUUCGUCAUCAGGUUGCUGCUAUUCCUUACACCACCUCCACCAGUGUCUGGACUCCAGGGGGAUUGGGAUUAUUGGACCUCACUAUCCCAGCCUUCGGGGAUAGUACGUCAUGAUGGAGUCCAAUCGCCAAAGACCUUGCACAAUUCAUAUUUUAUGCUUGUGUAAUAAAUUAUUGUAUUACUAUUAAACGAGUCUCUCCUGAUUGAAAUGGAGAUUUGGUUAUUUUGAGCUAUGUGUUAAAUGAACACAUGCUCAACAGGAGGAAUGGGAAGGCUGUGGAGCAUUUAGCUGUUAAAUUACUUAUUAUUAACAUUUUUUGCCAUGCAUUGGUUGUGAAGGACACAAUCCCAAGGUUUAAAUUAUGAGAAAACAUUAGUAUGGACUUAAUUGAACUAAAUCAAGGUAAAGAAAAGGAAUAUUGUCCGACCAUCAUAAAUGAGAUGUUUUCCAAAUGAAUUAAAAUGUUUUAAACAAAAGCACAGAAUGUUUUAACAAAGACAAAAAGAAGAAAA